CACCUCCUGCAGGAGUUAGCUACAAGGAGGGCAUGCACUUGGGCUCAGUGGUGGGGAGGAAGGGGCCAGCUCAGGGCUCUGAAGUGGGAGAUGGCAGGGUUAGAUAGGGCCAGCAGGUUGGGGGUGCGUGGAGGAGAAAGGGAAGGGCUAAAAGAAAGGCUAGGCCCUGGGAGGGGUGUGUGGAAGGCAGCUUUCAAAGUGCCACAGACCAUCCACACUGGAGACAGCAGCCGUCGAGGCCAGGCUGUCCCUGUUGUCAGCUGGAGUUGGGGCGCUUGACCUCCAGGAAGGCACAGGUCUUUGAGGCCUAGGUGGACCCAGUGUCCUAGCCUGAGUGGAAGGCAUGUUGGGGAAAAGAUGGCAGAACAGGUAGUGGAGACAGGUGGAACAGGGCCCUUGAGGCCCAGGAAAUGAUCAUGAAAGGAACAUGGGGACUGGGCUACAGGUGGGCAGGUAGUGGAGACAGGUGGAACUGGGUUGAGGCCCAGAAAUGAUCAUGGAGAACAAACAUGGGGACAGGGCUGCAGGUGGGGAGGGAGGGCCGACUUUGCCAUGCCAGCAGCCCCCUUUUUUUCCAGACAAGGGGUGUGAACCCUCCUGGGGAUGAGGACUGGUCUUUGAAAAGUGGACUUAGCUUCGUGGGCCUGACAGCUCUGGCCCAGGGUGGUAUGUAAUUGGGGCUCGGCCUGGUGGCACUCAAUUCUGGGUGUGAGGCGAGGCCCUGGUCAGAGGUGAGGGGUGGCCGAAGGAGUGGCUGCAUAGAGAGACGCCUUCACUGGUUAUUGGUGUGACCUGUCAGGUCGUCCAGAAGGGGGCUGCUGGGGGCCACAUUGACCACAGCUUUAUUUUUCAGGUUGGCAGUGCCCCCUUCUGGACUUUUCUAGGUUCGGUGGUAACCUCUUCUGUGAGCUCAUUCUUCCCCCCUCUCCUCCCUCUCAGUCUGAGGUUAUGGGUUCGAUUAAAACCUUGGCCUCUGGUCAUCUGUGGCAAGCAGAUGGCACCAGGAGACGCGGAGGCCCUGGAGGACACAGCGGCUCACAUUGAUGCCUGCAGAUUGAUUGCCAGAGGCUUAGGAAGUUCUGCACUGCCUGGUGACCAGGCUGGGGAAGCCCUGUAUUCAGGAGGCCACCGUUUAAAUUGUUCAGAUGAGCUUAUGGGGGGCAGUGCGAAGCAGAUGCUUCCGGCUGGAGGGGCCAUCAGCUGUGAAUGUUGGUUCCAGAUGAAUGUCUCGUUCUGGGAGCACCAUUCCCCCGGAUGCAUGGAUGCUAGCAGGCACCCCUCCUUUCUUAGGGGUACGGGUUUUUCAGCUGCCACGUCUUCUAGAUCAAGCCUACAGUCUUUGUAGUUCUGUGCCACGAACUUUACUUCGAGAAGAUUUCUUGAGGUGUAGAACAUUUUAACGUUGAUGUCACAACGCAGAUGAUGCCUUGUAGAUGGUGUUUGCAGACGGAGCCCAGUGACCUCACCCACCAUGCUCUUCCAGCCUGUCUGCCUGCCUCUGCGUUGGUCAGAGGAAUUCCUAGUGUGAUGAAACUUUUGGGUGCUGGGGAAAGCUGUUUGGUUUUAAAUGCCUGAGACAGAAAUUGUGAAAGUGGGAGGAGAGGUGGUUGCGUUUCAAGUUGGCCAUGCACACAUGAUUUGGAAGUGGCAGAUCUAGUUUGGGCGUUCUGGUGGCAUUGGGUACUAAAAAGGGAAUGAUGGAUCUACACUGAUCCUUGGGGUUUUGUCUUGGUACUGCAGAUGGAAGGUGACUGAGCUAGAAUAUUCUAACCGAGGAAUUCAUGCUUCAUUUCUUUGUGUUUCUGAGAUGGGGUCUGACACUAUCAAGUAGGCUUCCAACUCUUAAUCCGCCUGUCUAGGACUCAUGGAUGCUGGGAUUACAUGUGUGCCGCUACACCUGGCCUUCCAGUUUUUAAACUUGGCGUCUCCCACAUAUGGUUUCAGAGUACUCUGGACACCAGAGGUGGGACUUGCAGGAGCGGGAGGAGGGAAUCUGCUUGGCACUGGUGGGGGGGAUGACAACUUUUGGGGAGAGUUGAUGAGGGAUGCAGCUCAAGGUGGUAGGGUGCUGACAUGGGAUGGGAUUGGAAAUAAUGGGUUGAUAAGAAUUCUCCAGGGAAAUAAGAACUCAGAAACUAAAUAGGGCUGGUGCAUUAAGGAAAAAAAAAAAAAGUUCCUGUCUAGAAGCCAUGACAGUUGCUUGGGAAACUAAGAAAUGCUUAGGACUUAAAUUCAAGAAAAAAUUUGUUUUGCUUUGGUAUUAAAUGGGGAAGAUUGAAAAGUUGUGACUAAACCCAGUGUGGAAAGGUGUCAGACUCAAUAGAACUUAACCGUGAACAUGUAAACUGCCUAGGCAGUCUGGGAGAGCUGUGUACCGUGCCUGCAAGGUGGGGCUUUUAAAGCAUUUGGGGUUGCACUCAGGAUGAGAUUGGGCUCUUUGGAGUUUGUAAUUCAAAUUUUAUCAGAUACUUUGUGAUUGAAAUUCAUAUCAACAUGAAAGUGAGUUGUGACUGAAAUUCUGAUCAAAGUGACUGAAGGAAUUUAUUAUGCAAAUAAUACCUUAUAGAAAAAUAUCUGCUUGCAUUUCUAUGAUUGGUCAGUAAACAGCAAGACUGACUUCCUAAUUUUUCAAACCAGUCAUUGUAACAGAGACAAAUGAUCUUUUGUGUUGCGUGUGAAAUUACUGUACUAUUUGGUAGCAAACAAUUCCUGUACCUUUGCUGAGGCUGUGGUGAAUAAUCCACUGUGGUUUUAGCUUGAAUGGGACAUUUUAAGCCAUCCAGGAGUAGAGGGAACUGUCCAUCAAAACUA